UGGGGAAUAUUGCACAAUGGGCGGAAGCCUGAUGCAGCGACGCCGCGUGAGGGAUGACGGCCUUCGGGUUGUAAACCUCUUUCAGUAGGGACGAAGCGUAAGUGACGGUACCUGCAGAAGAAGCACCGGCUAACUACGUGCCAGCAGCCGCGGUAAUACGUAGGGUGCGAGCGUUGUGCGGAAUUACUGGGCGUAAAGAGCUCGUAGGCGGUUUGUCACGUCGUCUGUGAAAUCCUAGGGCUUAACCCUGGACGUGCAGGCGAUACGGGCUGACUUGAGUACUACAGGGGAGACUGGAAUUUCUGGUGUAGCGGUAGAAUGCACAGAUAUCAGGAAGAACACCGAUGGCGAAGGCAGGUCUCUGGGUAGUAACUGACGCUGAGGAGCGAAAGCAUGGGUAGCGAACAGG
rnacentral:rRNA from 1 species